rnacentral:rRNA from 1 species
GACGAACGCUGGCGGCGUGCUUAACACAUGCAAGUCGAACGGAAAGGCCCUGCUUUUGUGGGGUGCUCGAGUGGCGAACGGGUGAGUAACACGUGAGUAACCUGCCCUUGACUUUGGGAUAACUUCAGGAAACUGGGGCUAAUACCGGAUAGGAGCUCCUGCUGCAUGGUGGGGGUUGGAAAGUUUCGGCGGUUGGGGAUGGACUCGCGGCUUAUCAGCUUGUUGGUGGGGUAGUGGCUUACCAAGGCUUUGACGGGUAGCCGGCCUGAGAGGGUGACCGGACACUGGGUGAGAGAGUACCGGCUCAGACUGGGUGGGGGGGGAGGUGGUGAGAAUAUCGCGACAGGGGGUGAGGCCAGAUGCAGCAGCGGGGGGUUAGGGACGACGGCCUGCGGGUUGACGACCGUGUGCGCCGGGGAGGACGGGGGUGUGAGGGUAGUUGGCAACGAACCACCGGAAAACUGCGGGCGGGCGGUCGAGGUAUCAGCCGACCAGCACACGGCAGCGU